UCCAGGACACCCUGACCCAACUUCCUCAGCUUAUCCUAUGCAACUGCCUGAAAACUAAAAGGCUACAAUUUUGGAGAGAGAGAGAGAGAGAGAGGAGAGAGAGAGAGUUUCCAAUGGAUCAUCAUCCUGUAAAAGGUGACCCAACUUUCAACAGAGAACGCUGCUCAUCUUCAUCAAGGCAUCGGUUUGCUUCUCUCAGCGUGGACUGCCCUUCAGAUGGCCUUUGAGAACUAUUGUGGUGGCCCUGACUCUUCCCUCAGCCAAUCCCAAGAUAGCAGAGAAAUGAAUGAUUAUGCAUGAAGAGUGUUUUGGAAGUGAUGGGUAACGAUGAUGAAAGCAUAGGGGACAAUGAUUUAGAAGUCGACGCUUCGGAGUUCCAAUCGAAUGUAGAAGAUGGAAGGACAGUAGUUGCCUCUAGGGGCAGAGCAGAGGUAGAAGGAACUAUAGGUUGAACCCUCAAGAUUUACGAUCCCUGUUUAUUUUUACUUUUUAAUUUCCUGUUUUUUAUCCUAUACUUUUUGCCCCUUUAUUUGUGUUAAUAUGUCAUUUUUAUAGAGUUAUUAGUGUGGCAAAUUUUGUCCCUUGCUUUU